UUUUGUUUCACUUCUGAUUAUGUCAAUCACAUCUGUGUUUGUAAGACUGGUCUAGGAGGGCCUAAUUGUGAAAAGAAAGUAAAACCUAAACCAAUACCAAGACAAAGUACAAAUUCAACAAAUACUUCUCCUGUAUUUGUGGAUACAAUGUUGCCGAAGGAGAUCGUGUGCUAUACAGCACAAGAUUGUCUAAUCACUUUGCCAGUCGAUGGACAUCCUGUAAAUGAGAGCUCACUUCUCUUUGGACAUUUGGAUAAAGGAAUAAGUCCUCAAAGUAUUGAACUAGAGAACAUAACAAGCCCUCUUAAUCAAAGCAUCGCGCACUUCCAUGUAAUACCAUCUGAAUCUGGGACUAAACAUGUUUGUGUUCAAACCAGAAACUU